AAAGUCGUAACAAGGUUUCCGUAGGUGAACCUGCGGAAGGAUCAUUACAGAAUGGUUGGUUGGUGGUUGGUGGUUGGGUUGGAGGUUAUGUUACAGUAGCCUCUACCAAUACCCCCCAUAUUCGCGCUUGUUUUGUUUCACAGAGUAACAGUCACAUAUAAUCAUAUACAACUUUUAACAAUGGAUCUCUGGGCUCUU
rnacentral:misc_RNA from 1 species